ACAAUGUUGACACUUCAUCUUAAUGUCAUUUAAAAAAUAGUAGAAGACAACUGAGGUCAAUUUUGAUUACUUUGUUCCCUUCGCUUUCGUGCUUUCCUGCAGUGCGGUUAAAAGAGCUGGAGUUGUCAGAGUGGUUUAAAAAGAUCAUUGUCUCCAACAAGUUUUUCCGGCUUGAAUUUCUGAUUUCUGAUUGUUGGUUGUAUUGAAGGGUUGCUCUGCUAAAAGGGAAAAGGAUGGCCUCUGUGCCUAUUAGUGUAGCUUAUGUGAAACGUCUUCAUAUGAAUACUUCUCAUGAAAAGACGCAGGUCAGCAGAUUUAUUGAAGCUACGGGAAGGGGCAACAUUCAACUUGCAACGCAGCGGGGAUGGAGUUGCCCCGAUAACCUUUCAAACGCUCAAACGACACAACAGUCUUCACCUUCGACGUCAUCCUGCUUUAUUUCGAAAUAAACUGGAUCUGUUGGAACACAAUUAGCUCCUGGAUUGCCUCGACGGGAAUUCAAAAUUCUCGAAAGCGGUAAAUUGUGCAUGUUUGUGCAAACUGUAAAUAUGAUCCUGAAAAACUGGGCUAGAAGUUUUGACUUGUUAGUCUGGCACGAAAAUUCAUCCUACGCUUUGAGAACGUGAUCACUUGUGUUUAAUUCUCGGGGGCUUCAACAAUUACAAUUACCUGACGCGACAAGACACAGCGGUCGUGAUCAUGCACAUGUUCCCCCGUACGUCACGCGAUCCGGUCGUUGCGAGACGAACCGUCUAUAAACUGUUUUCAGCGGUACAUCGAUAAGAGAUUACCAAAAUGUUCUUGUUCGCCAAUGAGAUGAUUUCAAAAUGCUCUUGAUUUAUGCGAAUCGCGAAUUUUAAAAAAGGAUGUUUGUCUUUCGCGAUCAAUGUCCCGAGUGAUUGACACCUAAGUGUUUUAUUUUGAUACCUGAGAUAAUUUUCAAGAGGAUGUUGUUGUAACUUCCAUUGGGGGAUAAUAAAGUGAAAUUGCCUCUUUUUCAUGA